UGCAGCAUCAAGAGAGCACUUGUAGCACAAAUCCAGGGGAGGAGAGGUCUGGUAAGGACAAACAAACAGGAGGCGGAAUAGAGGAAUUCAGUUCUUCAGAAGAAAAAAAUGCUCUCCAUCUUCAUAGCAAAGUGAUAAGGAAUCAGAAAGAACAAUGCUGAAAUACAUAUGAUAAGAGGUCAUCCUGGAAAAGUGAGAAAGAGUGUGCAAAAAAUAACUACACCCAGAUGAAUGCAUAAAGCAUAGAAGAAGCACAAAGAAUAUAUUAGUAUAUGGAUUCUGCCUUUUUUAAAAGGAAAUAAAAUCUCAG
rnacentral:lncRNA from 1 species